rnacentral:rRNA from 1 species
GGCCAGUGAAUUGUAAUACGACUCACUAUAGGGCGAAUUGGGCCCUCUAGAUGCAUGCUCGAGCGGCCGCCAGUGUGAUGGAUAUCUGCAGAAUUCGCCCUUCAGGCCUAACACAUGCAAGUCGAACGCCCCGCAAGGGGAGUGGCAGACGGGUGAGUAACACGUGGGAACGUGCCCUAAGGUUUGGAAUAUUCCCGGGAAACUGGGAGCAAUACCAAAUGUGUCCGCAAGGAGAAAGAUUUAUCGCCUUAGGAUCGGCCCGCGUCAGAUUAGCUAGUUGGUGGGGUAAAAGCCUACCAAGGCGACGAUUCUGUAGCUGUUCUUAGAGGAAGACCAGCCACACUGGGACUGAGACACGGCCCAGACUCCUACGGGAGGCAGCAGUGGGGAAUCUUGGACAAUGGGCGCAAGCCUGAUCCAGCCAUGCCGCGUGGAUGAUGAAGGCCCUAGGGUUGUAAAAUCCUUUCAGCGGGGACGAUAAUGAC